rnacentral:rRNA from 1 species
AGCUCCAAUAGCGUAUAUUAAAGUUGCUGCAGUUAAAAAGCUCGUAGUUGCAUUUCCGAGGCAAGGGAUUAGUCCGACCUUUGGUGGGUAUUUAAUCCUCUUGCCUCGUCCUUGAGUGGUGCUUCUUGGUAUUAAGUUAUCGAGGAGAUAGCCGCUCAUCGUUUACUGUGAGAAAAUUAGAGUGUUCAAAGCAGGCUUAUGCCGUUGAAUAUAUUAGCAUGGAAUAAUAAGAUAGGACCUCGGUACUAUUGUGUUGUUUUGAGAACCAAGGUAAUGAUGAAUAGGGACAGUUGGGGGUAUUCGUAUUCAGUUGUCAGAGGUGAAAUUCUUAGAUUUACGGAAGACGAACUACUGCGAAAGCAUUUACCAAGGAUGUUUUCA